UACGUAGGGGGCGAGCGUUAUCCGGAAUUACUGGGCGUAAAGGGUCUGUAGGCGGUCUGAAAGGUCUGGCGUGACAGUUCUCGGCUUAACUGAGAGAGUGCGUUGGAAACCGGUAGACUAGAAUCACGUCGAGGUCGGUGGAAUUCCCGGUGUAGUGGUGGAAUGCGUAGAUAUCAUGUGGAACGCCAAUGGUGAAAACAGGUAGCUGGGAGUGUGCUGACACUGAGACACGAAAGCCAGGGGAGCAAACGGG
rnacentral:rRNA from 1 species